rnacentral:rRNA from 1 species
AGUCGAGCGGUAACAGAGAGUAGCUUGCUACUCUGCUGACGAGCGGCGGACGGGUGAGUAAUGCUUGGGAAUAUGCCUUAUGGUGGGGGACAACAGUUGGAAACGACUGCUAAUACCGCAUGAUGUCUACGGACCAAAGUGGGGGACCUUCGGGCCUCACGCCAUAAGAUUAGCCCAAGUGGGAUUAGCUAGUUGGUGAGGUAAUGGCUCACCAAGGCGACGAUCCCUAGCUGGUUUGAGAGGAUGAUCAGCCACACUGGGACUGAGACACGGCCCAGACUCCUACGGGAGGCAGCAGUGGGGAAUAUUGGACAAUGGGCGCAAGCCUGAUCCAGCCAUGCCGCGUGUGUGAAGAAGGCCUUCGGGUUGUAAAGCACUUUCAG